GCCUACGGGGCGCAGCAGUGGGGAAUAUUGCGCAAUGGGGGCAACCCUGACGCAGCAACGCCGCGUGCAGGAAGAAGGUCUUCGGAUUGUAAACUGUUGUCGCAGGGGAAGAAGACAGUGACGGUACCCUGUGAGAAAGUCACGGCUAACUACGUGCCAGCAGCCGCGGUAAUACGUAGGUGACAAGCGUUGUCCGGAUUUACUGGGUGUAAAGGGUGCGUAGGCGGCCUGCUAAGUCUGGAGUGAAAGGUACCGGCUCAACCGGUACAGGCUCUGGAAACUGGCGGGCUAGAGAGCAGGAGAGG
rnacentral:rRNA from 1 species